rnacentral:rRNA from 1 species
UACGUAGGAUGCAAGCGUUGUCCGGAAUUAUUGGGCGUAAAGCGCGUGUAGGCGGCCGUGCAAGUCGGGUGUGAAAGCCCUCGGCUCAACCGAGGAAGUGCGCCCGAAACUGCAUGGCUUGAGUACCGGAGAGGAUGGCGGAAUUCCCCAAGUAGAGGUGAAAUUCGUAGAUAUGGGGAGGAACACCGGUGGCGAAGGCAGCCAUCUGGACGGAUACUGACGCUGAGACGCGAAAGCGUGGGGAGCAAACAGG